GACUGGGGCGGCCGGGGCUCGGGCGGCACGGCGCUGCGACGGCGCGGGGCGCCUGCGAGGGCGCCGGGGCACUCGGAAGGUUUGCUCCCCUCGGGAACAGCCUCUCUCGGGUCGCCCCUUGGGUACGGGACGCUGCUUCAGGGCCUGACCCAGCGCACCCCAGCGCAUCUCCCCCUUCGGGUGGCACCACCUUGCCCCGCUCCUCUCGCGGCCCUUCUCGGGAUGAGAUCUUCCUGUGCUAAUAGAGAUUUGAGCAUGCGAUCCUUGAAAUUAUUUGGAUGGUUACAAUGCUGUGGAAUGCCUUGUCACAAUAAUGCCUAUUCUAUAGUUUAUCUUCUGGCUGUAAAUAAAAGCCAUUAAAAAGCCUUACGAGUCAACACUUUGGUACAGCUCUAUUUUAACACACCUCUCUAUAUGGAGAUUGUCUGAUUAUGCUUUAUAUUCUGACAUUUAAAAAAGCAGAGGCUCCUUAAGAGCUUACAGCACAAUAGCACAAAAUAAUUUACUGUUGUUUGAAGAAGACUUUCAAAUGCCCCUCCAGAUGCCUCUGAAGUGACUGUUGACUGUUUGCCUGCUGGUGUGAAAGCUGGAGAAUGGUGAUACCCAGUGUCAUGAGAGCUCCUCAGCAUGUGGGGAUCAGCCUACUUCCAUCAGACCACAUGAGCCAUGGGCUUGGCUUUUUCCACGCUAUGUGAGUUAUUUGCAACUACAAAGAGUGUCAUGUUCAAUGACCAGCAGCAGAGACAAUAGAUAAAAUUUGUAGAAAUUUCAUCUGUAUCUCACUCUAGUGCAAAAAAUGCCCUAAAACAAACUUAACUUUGGAAAAAGAGAGCUGUCCUGUGAUAGCUCAUAUCUGAGGAUAUUUCUCCAGAUUAUAUUCAAAGACUUCUGGAGUUUUCAUGUCCUUUAUUGUCUCAGGGGUAUUUCUUGGUGGAAUCUUCCAGCAAGAGUUUGAGUACUGCCAGAAAUUCAACAGAAGAGUGGACUGAAGUGGACUGAAUACCAGAUCCUGGACUGUGUAGUUUCACUGCAGUUUUCUCCAGUAUCCAAAAAUUCUAAUUCUACAGAGAAAACUUACUUUUCCAUGCCAGCAGGCCUAGGACUGAGUUUCAUUACUCCUGCAGCCGGUAUUGCCACAUCCCCUCCAAAGCUUUGCCCUGUGCUUUAGCAUCUCUGUCCAUCAGAACAAGUAAGACCCACUGCUCAGUUAAAAUCCUUCCUUGCUCCACCCAUUCCAGGCUGAAGGCUCUUCUCCAGAGAACAGACUGCACUGCAUCAACACAGACCCACCGGGAGCAGUGGUCUUCACACAGUUUGCCAUCACUGAGCCACCCACUGGGAAUUGGUUGAUGGACAUGAAUCUCACAGCCACCAUGGGUCAUUCUGGCCCAGGCAGUCUUGCUUUGGGAAUUUAACCUGGCCCUGAGCAACACCCAAAUGGGAUCUGUGCAUGUCAGCAACUCCUUGACUGUGAGAAUUGUGCACCAAAGGGUCAUCAAGAGGGUGACAGUUUUACAGCAAACAGUAAAAAGAGAAAAGCAGAGUUACUUCAGCAGUGUCAGUCUACACGAAGUCUUCUAGUGGUGUUUGAGCUGAUCCAAGACUGUCUUUUAUUCACAGGGUAUUUGACAGGAGCUACAGCUCUUGAGCAAGUCCCAGCUGGAGUCACUUGGCACUCUGCUCUCAGCUGUGGCAGGUGUAUGUGCCACCUCUGGCUGGCAUUGUUCCCAAAAAUACCCUGGGAGUACAAGUGAUACUGAAGAGACACAGUAUUUGUGUUAGGUGCUUUUUCCCAAAUUGUUUGGUUCUUAAGCUGUAUUUACUAGAGCCCUCCAAAGCUGUCAUGGACCUUAAAGUUAUUUCUCUGUCACAGAAAACUUUCUACUGGUUGUAAACUACUUCUGAGUUUUACUGGGGUCAUCAGUCACUAUCUGCAAGAACAUAGUUCAGCAAAGUGCAGCAGGACACAAAAAUUAUUCCUGGCAGAAGACACCAGCAUGAAGGGUGAUUCACCCACAGGAAGAUUACAGUAAAUUACAAAGGAACCUGGAAAGCUGACAGCAGGGAUGAAUGCAGGAAAGCAAAUAUGAUUUUAUGCAGUAGGAACUUGAUAUAUGAAGGAAAAUGAAGAUCAAGUUUAGAAAAUGAUGAGUGAGCAUAAUCAAACUACAUCCAUCUCAUUUAAGCAAGUUUAUUUUCAGCUUGUUACUUUGAUAUAACUUUCUUAUGUAUUCAUGCUAUAUCUUUAGUCUUUGAUGAAGGAACCUGAAUAAAACUGUCCAUCAAAGAAGGUUUAUUUUACUCAUCUUUUGAGACGUGUGAGCCAUAUGUACACUCAGGCAGCAGGGGAU
rnacentral:lncRNA from 13 species